rnacentral:rRNA from 1 species
CGCGACGGGGCCGCUCCGGUGUGGCGCUUUUUGCUCGUCCGACGCAUUUGUUUCCCGSCCYUGAGGACGCCGCAACCGGUUGGCGUGAUGGCCUUAAGGGCGCGAGCUGGCAGUUGGCCGGCGAGUGCGCUUCGUGUGCAUUUGCCGGUCUUUAGCUUUCGCGUCGCACGGCACGUCCGCCGACCGUGGCAAUAAGGAUGCCCUGAUGGGCUUCGACGUCUCCUCCAUAACUGACGCGGGUGAAGAAGCAUGUCAGGGGUUCGACCGCAAUCUGCUGGGCGCACGGACUGACUCCGUGGCCGCGGCGCUCGGUCGUCCUCGUUGGUCGUGCAAGGUCCGCGGGAGUGCAUGACGGUUUGCGGCGAGUAGGUCGGUCACCCACCCGUCCCGUCUUGAAACACGGACCAAGGAGUUUAACAUGUGUGCGAGUCAAUGGGUCUCGAAUAAGCCCAAAGGCGCAAUGAAAGCAAAGGUCGGAAUGACUCCGGCUGAGUUGGGAUCCCUGCUCCUCUGUCGGGCGGGGCGCACCAACGACCCGUCCUUUUCCACUUGUGGAUUGGGCGGAGUUUGAGCACACACGUUAUGACCCGAAAGGUGAUGAACUAUGCCCGGGCAGGACGAAGCCAGAGAAACUCUGGUGRAAGGUCCGUAGCGGUUCUGACGUGCAAAUCGAAYCGUCAGAUCCAGUAUAGG